GUGGAUUAGAUACCCUGGUAGUCCUGGCCGUAAACGGUGCGCAUUUGCUGUAAGAGGAAUCGACCCCUUUUGUGGCGAAGCUAACGCGUUAAAUGCGCCGCCUGGGAAGUACGGUCGCAAGAUUAAAACUCAAAGAAAUUGACGGGGGCCUGCACAAGCGGUGGAGUAUGUGGCUUAAUUCGAUGCAACGCGAAGAACCUUACCUGGCCUUGACAUGCAAGUAGUAGAACCUUGAAAGAGGGACGAGGUAGCAAUACCAGCUUGCACAGGUGCUGCAUGGCCGUCGCCAGCU
rnacentral:rRNA from 1 species